CGGGCGGCCUCCGUGUGCCAAAAAUAGGCCACGGGCACAGCCGCGCCCAAAAAUCAGCCCCCGAAGGUCGGGGUCACAAGACCCCCCAGCGGAAAAAAGGCCAAGAAACGCGUGGGCUAUAGCCUUGGUGGGGGGCGUGGGUGAAGUUCGUCCGCGGGACUCGGAAUGGCACCAUACUUGGCGGGCGGCCUCCGUGUGCCAAAAAUAGGCCACGGGCACAGCCGCGCCCAAAAAUCAGCCCCCGAAGGUCGGGGUCCCAAGCCCCCCCAGCGGAAAAAUGGCCAAGAAACGCGUGGGCUAUAGCCUUGGUGGGGGGCGUGGGCGAAGUUCGUCCGCGGGACUCGGAAUGGCCCCAGACUUGGCGGGCGGCCUCCGUGUGCCAAAAAUAGGCCACGGGCACAGCCGGGCCCAAAAAUCAGCCCCCGAAGGUCGGGGUCACAAGGACCCCCCAGCGGAAAAAAGGCCAAGAAACGGGUGGGCUAUAGCCUUGGUGGGGGGCGUGGGCGAAGUUCGUCCGCGGGACUCGGAAUGGCACCAUACUUGGCGGGCGGCCUCCGUGUGCCAAAAAUAGGCCACGGGCACAGCCGCGCCCAAAAAUCAGCCCCCGAAGUUCGGGGUCCCAAGACCCCCCAGCGGAAAAAUGGCCAAAAAACGGGUGGGCUAUAGCCUUGGUGGGGGGCGUGGGCGAAGUUCGUCCGCGGGACUCGAAAUGGCCCCAGACUUGGCGGGCGGCCUCCGUGUGCCAAAAAUAGGCCACGGGCACAGCCGCGCCCAAAAAUCAGCCCCCGAAGGUCGGGGUCCCAAGACCCCCCAGCGGAAAAAUGGCCAAGAAACGCGUGGGCUAUAGCCUUGGUGGGGGGCGUGGGCGAAGUUCGUCCGCGGGACUCGGAAUAGCCCCAGACUUGGCGGGCGGCCUCCGUGUGCCAAAAAUUGGCCACGGGCACAGCCGCGCCCAAAAAUCAGCCCCCGAAGGUCGGGGUCCCAAGACCCCCCAGCGGAAAAAUGGCCAAGAAACGGGUGGGCUAUAGCCUUGGUGGGGGGCGUGGGCGAAGUUCGUCCGCGGGACUCGGAAUGGCCCCAGACUUGGCGGGCGGCCUCCGUGUGCCAAAAAUAGGCCACGGGCACAGCCGCACCCAAAAAUCAGCCCCCGAAGGUCGGGGUCCCAAGACCCCCCAGCGGAAAAAUGGCCAAGAAACGCAUGGGCUAUAGCCUUGGUGGGGGGCGUGGGCGAAGUUCGUCCGCGGGACUCGGAAUGGCCCCAGACUUGGCGGGCGGCCUCCGUGUGCCAAAAAUAGGCCA
rnacentral:lncRNA from 1 species